rnacentral:rRNA from 1 species
UACGAAAGGGGGCUAGCGUUGCUCGGAAUUACUGGGCGUAAAGCGCACGUAGGCGGCUUUCUAAGUCGGGGGGUGAAAUCCUGGAGCUCAACUCCAGAACUGCCUCGAUACUGGAGAGCUUGAGCCGGGAGAGGUGAGUGGAACUGCGAGUGUAGAGGUGAAAUUCGUAGAUAUUCGCAAGAACACCAGUGGCGAAGGCGAGUCCCUGGACAACACCUGACACUGAGGCACGAAAGCUAGGGGGAGCAAACAGG